rnacentral:rRNA from 1 species
AUACGUAGGGAGCGAGCGUUGUCCGGAAUUACUGGGCGUAAAGGGCGUGUAGGCGGGGAUUCAAGUCAGGUGUGAAAACUAUGGGCUCAACCGAUAGACUGCACUUGAAACUGGAUUUCUUGAGGGCAGGAGAGGAAAGUGGAAUUCCUUGUGUAGCGGUGAAAUGCGUAGAUAUUAGGAGGAAAACCAGUGGCGAAGGCGACUUUCUGGACUGUAACUGACGCUGAGGCGCGAAAGUGUGGGGAGCAAACAGGAUUAGAUACCCUGGUAGUCCACACUGUAAACGAUGAAUGCUAGGUGUAGGGGGUAUCGACCCCUUCUGUGCCGCAGUCAACACAAUAAGCAUUCCGCCUGGGGAGUACGGCCGCAAGGUUGAAACUCAAAGGAAUUGACGGGG